rnacentral:rRNA from 1 species
AGCGAACGCUGGCGGCAGGCCUAACACAUGCAAGUCGAACGAACUCUUCGGAGUUAGUGGCGGACGGGUGAGUAACACGUGGGAACGUGCCUUUAGGUUCGGAACAACUCAGGGAAACUUGAGCUAAUACCGAAUGUGCCCUUCGGGGGAAAGAUUUAUCGCCAUUGGAGCGGCCCGCGUCUGAUUAGCUUGUUGGUGAGGUAAAGGCUCACCAAGGCUACGAUCAGUAGCUGGUCUGAGAGGAUGAUCAGCCACAUUGGGACUGAGACACGGCCCAAACUCCUACGGGAGGCAGCAGUGGGGAAUCUUGCGCAAUGGGCGAAAGCCUGACGCAGCCAUGCCGCGUGAAUGAUGAAGGUCUUAGGAUUGUAAAAUUCUUUCACCGGGGACGAUAAUGACGGUACCCGGAGAAGAAGCCCCGGCUAACUUCGUGCCAGCAGCAGCCGCGGUAA